UAUUGACUUCCCAGGAAGUCCUGUGACUUUAGGGGCAGAGGUAGAUGCUGACUGGCCUUCCAAGUACCUGACUUUGGUAUUCAAUGCCUCCACUUUGGCAUUCAGGUCAUUGUAGCAGCAGUCUAGCUUAUGGCGCAAUUCAGAUAAUUUCUUAGCAAUUUCCAUCGAGCUAGAUGCUUGUCCCUGUAGCAGCUGUUGGACCAUCUGUUUCAUUUCAGCAUCAGGAGCAGCAGGACCUUGGUUUUGCUGAGGUGCAAACCCAGGUGGUGGUGGUUGCUGGUAGUUCCCCUGAAAUUGUUGCUUAGCAACGAAACCUUGGUUGUAGGGAACAAAAGGUUUGUUCUGACCUUGUUGUUGCUGUGGAGGAUACACCUGAUCCUGAGGAUUAGCAACGUUGGUGCUGCGGUAGGAGAGGUUGGGGUUGUUGGUUUUGAAGUUGUUGUAUCCUUUGUAGUCACCCUGGUUGUUGUUGAUGUAGCUGACUUCUUCCAACUGGUUACCCUCCCCAUCUUGGACUUGGUACUGCUCGUCAUCAACAAGGAAGUGCUCAUGCUUCUGCUGGCUAAGAAGAAUCCUGUCCAGCUUGUCAUUCAGCACUUUGAUCUCCUUCCUGUGUUUGUCAUCAGAGUCAGCUGUUCCUCUGACGGUCCUAUCAGAGUCCUCGUUGUAAUUGCCAUCUGAUUGAGAAAGGUUCUCAACCAAUUCCCAGCCUUCUUCAACAUCCUUGUUCUGGAAAUUCCCAUUGCUGGCGGUAUCCAGAAGCAUUCUGAUGGGUGGUAGGACUCCUCUGUAAAGAGUGCUGAGCAGAGAGGCUUUAGUAAAGCCAUGAUGAAAGCAUUAGUUGGUGUAACCCUUGAAACGCUCCCAUGCUUCACAGAAGCUUUCACCAGUCUUCUGUGAGAAACCAGAAAUCUCAAUUCUGAGUCUUGCAGUUCUGGCAUUGGAGAAGAACUUUGAUAGAAAAGCCUUCUUGCAAUCAUCCCAGGUGGUGAUUGAGUCAUGGGGCAGAUUCUUCUCCCAGGUGUGUGCUUUAUCGCCCAAGGAGAAUGGGAACAAACGGAGCUUGAAUCCGUCUUCACUGACACCAUUGAU
rnacentral:sRNA from 1 species